rnacentral:snRNA from 1 species
ACCCUAUUGGCUAAUCUGGUCAGC